rnacentral:tRNA from 1 species
GCCUGGGUGGUUCAGCUGGUAGAGCAUAUGACUUUUGAUCUUGAGGUCAUGAGUUCGAGCCCCACAUUGGGUA